GUACGGCAACGCAGUCCGGGACCGCCUCUGAACCUGCCUCCUCAACGGCGAGAAAGCAUUACCCCGAUAGGCGAAGACAGCACCAACGGCGCCGGCAAAAGGAGUCAGAGGAAAGUCCGCAAGAAUAUAUGAAAAGGAUAGUGGAAAGAGAGAGGAGACAGCAUGCGUGUAGAAGGUGUCAUCAAUUUGGACACAACGAGACACAGUGUGCACCAAAUAAUUCUGCAGUAUAAGAAAGAAAACUUUGUCAUUAACCUUGUAACCUGUACUUUGUAAAUAAUUGUUGUUUUUCUU